rnacentral:lncRNA from 1 species
UGUGGAUUCUAGUACCCGCUAAAAAAUUAAGAUAAUUCUUAGAAUUAGAGGUAGAGGCUAUCAAUUCAUAUAAAAUAGUGGGAGGACCUUUAGACUAAAGUUCAAAUCUUUAGGAUUAAUAAAUUUAUAUACUAAUUAGGCUUUAUUCUUUCUUUGUGUGUGUAGAUAUGGCCUCAAACUUGUCACUUCGAUCACUGUUGGACAGUGAGAAGCUUAUCAGACCAAAUUUUAAUAAUUGAUAUCGGACAUU